UGGUAAAUAAAUACGACAGUAGUGUUGUAGGUACCGUCGUAGUAAACUCAAAAAUUAAAGUACAUAAGUAAUAACUCGCGUCAUGGUAGAUUAUUUAACACGUCGUUUUUAUUAAUGCACCGACGUGGAUUUCUGUAAUAUACGUCGAUCAUACGGACGUUGAUUUUACAAUUUAAACGGCGGUUUUUUUGUAAGGACCGCCGUUGGUUUUAAAAAUUUAUUCUAUAAAUUUGUCGCUUUCAUUCAUUUUCGGUUUACAUUUAGGAUUCCAAGUUCUUCCUCUCUCAGUCUCUCACGUCUCAAAGAUAA
rnacentral:lncRNA from 1 species